CAGUCGUACGGACGAGGAAUCAACCCUUCGAAGGUGGAUCCGUGGGUUUCAAAGAGCCUUUGUGCCUGCAACAUCCGCCUUCUUGUGGUGCACUUUCUCGUAUUGUAGGUCAACAUCGGUUUUGAUCAUUAUAAAAUGAUCAGAGGAAUGUAGCUUCGACCUCGUGUUGAAGUGUUAUAGACUCUGGUAGAUGUAACGGUCGGGACCGAGGAUUGCAACGGAUACCCUAAAGGGCUAUCCGUCUGGCCUCUGAUACGUCACUUUGGUAUCGAAAGCUUGCUUACGGUAUUAAAGUGUUUAC
rnacentral:rRNA from 1 species